AAACUUUGAGAAAAUAUGCUUCACAGUUUGUAUAUUCAGACUAUGUUCCAAUUUAGUCUUUUGAAAUGAAAACAAAGCAAUAUUUUUAACAAAUGCAAUGUUUUUCAGGGUUUCUUAACUUUUGAAUUCCCAAAAUCUAAUAGUCGGACAAAGUAGGUUUUCCACUGUAGGCAGUGAGCUGUUUCCUUUUUCGUGCUAAGAUUAGCUGUUAGUCACUGUUAGUCAAUUUAAAUUCUUUUAACUGAUGAAAUAGAAGAUGUGUAGUUUAAGUGUCAGAAAAUGUUGUAGUUUGGCUGUAGUAACUGGCUGUGCCACCAGGUGGUGCCUCUUCCUGUUUAAUGAGAUGGAGUUACAGGUGUGUUUGCUGACUGCCUGUAAUGUUUACAUUAAACAAACAUCUUUCUUGCUCUCUAACUGAUAACUCUGGCAGUCAUGUUGAUGAACUGUGUAGCAUAAAGCUAUAAAAAUGUAGCUCUGUGGUUUAGACUUAUGCUAAUGCUAAGCUAAGAUACUGAAAUGCUAACAGGCUGGGAGCUUAGUGUCUGUCAGCAGAGAGCAGCAGCUUCAACCAACGUUUGGAUCUAAUGAUGAUAUCAGUGAUAUCUCUGAGUAUAAAUACCUUUUAGAGGCAGCAGUAAGUACUGACAGAUUUCCUGGACUGAUGAAGUUUCUACAGCAGUAUUUGUGCACAUCUGUUCAAGUUGAGCAUCAAUCCAUCGUGUAGAUCAGCGACGAGGAUUAUGUUGAUAUCAAACUGCUGUGAUGAGAAGUAUCAGUGGGUAAUACGCUUUUAUGGAGAAACGUUCACUGUAAUUCAUUUUAACAAUAAAUUGAUUAUUGAUUGUUGACAUAUAAAAUAGUUCAAAUUUGCAUCCUGAAGACUCAUUUAAAAUCACUCCACCCUCUUUGCAUUUGGAUUAUUGCUUUUACAGUCAAACACAGAAAUCUUCAGCACAUAAAUCCAAAGUUUGCUGUUCGGCUUGGUGAACUGAAGCAGCCUUUUAUAGCAAUAGCUGUGGUUCUUUAGCUUCCUGCAGUCAUCGAUUGUAGUUAUUCUGCCUUUGAGGGUUGUUUGUAAAAGUAAAAGUUCAGUUCUACAAUCAGAUUCGUCUCUGAGUCAAUGCAACCUUUUGUCAUUGAGCACUUUUGCAAGCAUUUCAUAACCUUUGGCACUGUGUCAAGAAGGACCAAAUUAGCAUCUCAUUGUGAGACCCCUUGAAGGUUUAAAUCAUAUCGUUGUGUCUUUAUUGUAGAGAAUAUUAUCACGUAGUGUGUGAUACUGCAGUGCGAUAAGCCAUAACCAAACCAUGAGGAUUUACUGUCCCUUAUGUGCCACGCAAUAAUGGCUGUGACAUCACUGAUAAACUGACAUAUUGAUCACUGUGUCCAUGGCCUGUCCUGCCCUGCAGAGACAAACAGCAGUUACUGUUUUUGAUUUUGAGUUAAAAAUUGUGAUACCACAGAGUUUAAUUAUUCGCUCCUCGUCCUUCUGCCAGGAUGAAAGACAAACCUUGAUGUCACUUUUCUCCGUUUUACCGCACUUUGGGUUUAAAAUGCAGUUUAGGAUCUUGCUGAUGCCAUAUGUGUACUGAUCUGUUCAGUCAGAUUGUAAUCAAUGACCAGACGUCAGCGUAGAUUUGCUUGUUUAACUCACUUGGCUGCUUUAGCUUGACACACCGGAUUCAUUUAUUUGUUUUUGACUCAAUUGGAAAUGAGGUGCAAAGUUUACUAGUAACUACCUCAAGUUCAGCAGUGCUCUGCAGAAACUGACUACAGAGUGGUAGUACUGGACAAGGUUUUGUGAAAUGAGCACAGUUCCCUUCACCAAAAACUACAAAUAUAGUGUCUGAGGUGUCAAACCGAGGAUGAUCAGCAUCUGGAUUUCAUGUAACAUCCAAGAGUCCAGGUGUGCUGCAUGUAAGGACUACUCUACUCUACAAACACCUUCUUCUAUAAGUCUUAAUGUCCCCUUAAUGGACAUAUAUUUAGUUUCAUAGUUCUGUGUGCAACAUUCAGGAACACUGGAUGUCACUAGAGCACCAUCAUUUCAGGGAAAACAAACAGCCCCCCCAUGCCAUAUCGAUGCCAGUUGUUUUCUUUGGGUUCAGAAAUACCAUAUUACUGUUUAUUGAUUUGGAGGAACAGUUCAGAGAUCAUUUCCCACAAUAAAAAUAAUAAGGCUUGAAGAGAGGUGUGUUUUUGGUAUUUCGUCCAAUCACAGCACCAGUUCUGCUCAAAAACUUUCACAGUGUUCUUAGAAUUUGUGCUCAUUUCACUAAACAUUGUGAGACAGAGUUGCAUGGCUUUAUCCCCAUCACAUGGUUUCAGUUGAAUAUGUCACAUCAUUUGGAGAAAAGGCAAUACUCUGCUCCAGUUUUGUGUUUUGGAUCAUGACAUGGUAGAGCUGUCAGGAUCCACUCUGGGUGUGUUGAAGCGAUAAAUAGCCUAACACUGAAUUAAUAUGCAGCCACAGAGACUUGCCAUUGAAUACAGCUAAUACUGCAAGCUAACUGGCGUCCACUUUUAACGUGGCGCAUGUACACGAGAGAAAUAAUGUCAUUGCACGGGUUUAUUUGCCGAUCUUUCAGCCCACUGUGUCCCUUCCUCUCUGCUGAAUGGUGGGUGGUAUUGUUUGGUACUUUCAGUGUAUUAACGUUCUGUAUAUUGGUGUAAAUGUGGCAUGAAAACCGACCCCUCUUGUGUGCCUCAGGUGUGUAAAUUUGGUCGUUACGUGAUCUCAGUGUCUGGCUGCUUAUUUGUGAGAAGUGCGAUGCAUCUCAUGUGUUUCUGUAAUUUAUUUGUAUUAAUAUUAUUUCUGUACUUUUCUUCUUUUGUCUGAAAAUCAAGAUUUCUGUUAUUAAAAGUAACAACUUUUAUUA
ensembl:lncRNA